rnacentral:lncRNA from 1 species
CCAGUUACAGUGGGAACCCCAAACAGGUGCCGUGUCUCUUACUUGCUAAAUAAAGAAUGAUGUUUACCUUUGCCAGAUGCUGGUGGCUGGGGAAUUUAGGCAGAAAAUCCUAUAAAGAGAGGGAGUGCAGAGUGUUAGAGGCUCUGGGGCCUGGAGGGUCCUAAUGCUCUGUGCUUCUGCUAGGCUUCCGCCCUUGGACAAAGGAAAGUCCGCUUUGGAGGGCUGGAUGGAGGUGAAAGGAGAUGAUCAAAACAGAGUACUGGCAUCUGGGUUUACUGUGACUGCUUUUCUCUAAAUUUAAGGCAGGGUUCCCUUGUCUCAAAUACUGUGGAUGUUUGGAGCCAGAUGAUUUCUUUAUGAGGGGACUCCUUCCUGUGCAUUGUGUGGCGUUUAGCAGUGUCACAGACCUCUAUGUAGCUUAGAUGCCAGGGACUUAGUCAUGUCUCUUUGUGUCCCCAAAGAUGUCUCCCAACAGCUUUCCUCUGACCACCGGUAGAAACGCACUUAAGAAAGCCUGAUGUCAGGUUUUCCCUUUGUUCAGAAAUGCUAUAGAACAUUUGAAUGGAAUGGGCACCGACUUGUUGACAAGCAGGCUAAGAACCAGAACACAUGCUGAGAAUGCAGGUGAACCUGAGUACAGUCAUGUGGGACUGCUCCCUUUGGGGAAGAGGCAUCUGGACAGAGUGGUCAAGAGCUUCAGCUUUGGCCCAACAUGGCAUCACAUACCUCAUUGACGGAAGGCUACGUGGGAGCCCCGAAGGACAGCAGACGCGGCAGCUCUGUGCAAAUCCGCAGGCGCAAAGCUUCUGGUGACCCUUACUGGGCCUACUCGGAUGCUCCUGUAAGCCCCAGAUCAGCAAGGAAGAUAAAUGCAAAACAAAUUAAAGUAAAAUGGUAAAUACUCUGCAGAUGCCAGAAGAAAUCUCUAGGAAGAACCAGCUCCGAGAACCACAGUCUCUAACAUGUGAAAGCAAACUUGCCAGAGGUCGGGCUUGAACUGAGAAGACAGGAAUUGGCCUUUUAAUACAGUACAACCGUAUAUAGCAAUAUUGCAGUAUUUUCCUGUUUGAAAAAAUGUGCGUGCCUGCCUGCACGCGCGUGUGUGUGGGUGCUAGAGAUUGAACUGAUGCUGAGCUAUAACCGUCUGAACUAACCUUAUCCCCUUUACUUUUUAUUUUAAGGCUGGGCCUGGCUAAAUUGCCUGGGUGGGAUUGGAGUUUGCAAUCUUCCUGUGUCAGUCUUCACUCAGUGCUGGGAUUAUAGGCAUAGUCCACCUUUCCUUCCCCUGUUUAAGUAUUUUUGAAGUUAGUUUUAAGGUUAUAGAGAGGAGAAAUUGAAAGACAAAGAAAAUUUAGAGAUAUCAAGUAAUUAAUUAGAGAAAAAGAACUACUGCUGACAUUUUCUGUUUUCUUGUACUGUUCUACUCAUAGCCCUGCCAGUUAUUACCACCCAGUUCCCACCUACACAGCAUUUUCUUCAUUAUACAACUUAUCCUUCACAUAUUUGGUUUAUUUCAAAAUCCUGAUGCAUCUCACCGUUGUAUAUGUUUUAUGUGGUACUAUUUCUUUCUCCUCCAAAAAUGCUGCUUUUAGAAUGACUGUAUUUCAAAGUUCAUGGAGUCUUAGAAUUUAAGCAGUAGAGCACACAUAAUAUUUAUGUGUAUUCUGGGCUGGGGAUUUAGCUCAGUUGUUCCACCACCUGCCUUGCAAGCACAAGGACCUGAGUUCAAUCUCUGGUACCGAAACAAAAAAAGAGAAAAGAAAGAAAGAAAUAUUUAUGUGUAUUCUUAAAGGUUAUAUGCACAUACAUAUUUAGAUGUGAGCCUGCAUUUUCCCAUAGAUACUCCAUCAUAAGCAUUUUUAGUAGUAUUAAGGUGCCUGCAGUGGUUAAAUCAUACUACUUUAAUGUGCUUAUGUCUUGAUAUGAUUUUGCUUAUGUUAGUCAUCUCUGACUAAAUGAAGUUAACUUUUAAACAUUCUUUGUUAGUCCUCUGUCUAAAUAUCCAGGAUUGAUCUCGGUCUCUACUAAGUCUUUAAAGUGUGAGAGUAAAGGUCGUAUACCCAUUAUAAUAUAAGAAACAAAUGUCUUACAUGGUGAAUUAUGAUUUGAGUGAAUAUACCUUAUUGUUCUAAGGCAGUAAAAAAUAAUCUUUCAUCUCUUAAAUGAAGUGAUUUAAUAAGCAGUUAAUGAGUAUGUAUAACUAUUAUUU